CAGUAGCCACGGUAAUACGGAGGGUGCAAGCGUUACUCGGAAUCACUGGGCGUAAAGGACGCGUAGGCGGAUUAUCAAGUCUCUUGUGAAAUCUAACGGCUUAACCGUUAAACUGCUUGGGAAACUGAUAAUCUAGAGUAAGGGAGAGGCAGAUGGAAUUCUUGGUGUAGGGGUAAAAUCCGUAGAUAUCAAGAAGAAUACCUAUUGCGAAGGCGAUCUGCUGGAACUUAACUGACGCUAAUGCGUGAAAGCGUGGGGAGCAAACAGGAUUAGAUACCCGCGUAGUCCCUGUCUCUUAUAA
rnacentral:rRNA from 1 species